rnacentral:rRNA from 1 species
AAUCCAUAGGUUAAUGAGGCGAACCGGGGGAACUGAAACAUCUAAGUACCCCGAGGAAAAGAAAUCAACCGAGAUUCCCCCAGUAGCGGCGAGCGAACGGGGAGGAGCCCAGAGCCUGAAUCAGCAUGUGUGUUAGUGGAAGCGUCUGGAAAGGCGCGCGAUACAGGGUGACAGCCCCGUACACAAAAGCGCAUGUGCUGUGAGCUCGAUGAGUAGGGCGGGACACGUGGUAUCCUGUCUGAAUAUGGGGGGACCAUCCUCCAAGGCUAAAUACUCCUGACUGACCGAUAGUGAACCAGUACCGUGAGGGAAAGGCGAAAAGAACCCCGGCGAGGGGAGUGAAAAAGAACCUGAAACCGUGUACGUACAAGCAGUGGGAGCACCCUUUGGGGUGUGACUGCGUACCUUUUGUAUAAUGGGUCAGCGACUUAUAUUCUGUAGCAAGGUUAACCGUAUAGGGGAGCCGGAGGGAAACCGAGUCUUAAUUGGGCGUUAAGUUGCAGGGUAUAGACCCGAAACCCGGUGAUCUAGCCAUGGGCAGGUUGAAGGUUGGGUAACACUAACUGGAGGACCGAACCGACUAAUGUUGAAAAAUUAGCGGAUGACCUGUGGCUGGGGGUGAAAGGCCAAUCAAACCGGGAGAUAGCUGGUUCUCCCCGAAAGCUAUUUAGGUAGCGCCUCGUGAAUUCAUCUCCGGGGGUAGAGCACUGUUUCGGCUAGGGGGCCAUCCCGGCUUACCAACCCGAUGCAAACUGCGAAUACCGGAGAAUGUUAUCACGGGAGACACACGGCGGGUGCUAACGUCCGUCGUGAAGAGGGAAACAACCCAGACCGCCAGCUAAGGUCCCAAAGUCAUGGUUAAGUGGGAAACGAUGUGGGAAGGCCCAGACAGCCAGGAUGUUGGCUUAGAAGCAGCCAUCAUUUAAAGAAAGCGUAAUAGCUCACUGGUCGAGUCGGCCUGCGCGGAAGAUGUAACGGGGCUAAACCAUGCACCGAAGCUGCGGCAGCGAACGUAUCACUUAAAGCGAUUCAGCGGGUUACGACUGACGGAGCGAAGCGACGUCAAAGCGUAUACAAAGUCGAGUCGGUUUAAGGAUACGUUCGUUGGGUAGGGGAGCGUUCUGUAAGCCUGCGAAGGUGGCCUGUGAGGGUUGCUGGAGGUAUCAGAAGUGCGAAUGCUGACAUAAGUAACGAUAAAGCGGGUGAAAAGCCCGCUCGCCGGAAGACCAAGGGUUCCUGUCCAACGUUAAUCGGGGCAGGGUGAGUCGACCCCUAAGGCGAGGCCGAAAGGCGUAGUCGAUGGGAAACGGGUUAAUAUUCCCGUACUUGGUGUUACUGCGAAGGGGGGACGGAGAAGGCUAUGUUGGCCGGGCGACGGUUGUCCCGGUUUAAGCGUGUAGGUGUGUGUUCCAGGUAAAUCCGGUUCACUUUAACACUGAGGCGUGACGACGAGGCACUACGGUGCUGAAGCAACAAAUGCCCUGCUUCCAGGAAAAGCCUCUAAGCAUCAGGUAACAUCAAAUCGUACCCCAAACCGACACAGGUGGUCAGGUAGAGAAUACCAAGGCGCUUGAGAGAACUCGGGUGAAGGAACUAGGCAAAAUGGUGCCGUAACUUCGGGAGAAGGCACGCUGACACGUAGGUGAAGUGAUUUACUCAUGGAGCUGAAGUCAGUCGAAGAUACCAGCUGGCUGCAACUGUUUAUUAAAAACACAGCACUGUGCAAACACGAAAGUGGACGUAUACGGUGUGACGCCUGCCCGGUGCCGGAAGGUUAAUUGAUGGGGUCAGCGCAAGCGAAGCUCCUGAUCGAAGCCCCGGUAAACGGCGGCCGUAACUAUAACGGUCCUAAGGUAGCGAAAUUCCUUGUCGGGUAAGUUCCGACCUGCACGAAUGGCGUAAUGAUGGCCAGGCUGUCUCCACCCGAGACUCAGUGAAAUUGAACUCGCUGUGAAGAUGCAGUGUACCCGCGGCAAGACGGAAAGACCCCGUGAACCUUUACUAUAGCUUGACACUGAACAUUGAGCCUUGAUGUGUAG